rnacentral:rRNA from 1 species
AGCAUGCCGCGGUGAAUACGUUCCCGGGCCUUGUACACACCGCCCGUCACACCACGGGAGUCGAUUGGUCCCGAAGUGCGUGAGCUAACCCGCAAGGGAGGCAGCGUCCUAAGGAAUGGUCGGUGACUGGGGUGAAGUCGUAACAAGGUAGCCGUAGGGGAACCUGCGGCUGGAUCACCUCCUUUCUAAGGAG